rnacentral:rRNA from 1 species
GACAGAGGGUGCAAACGUUGUUCGGAAUUACUGGGCGUAAAGCGCGUGUAGGCGGCCCUGCAAGUCGGGUGUGAAAUCCCACGGCUCAACCGUGGAAGUGCACUCGAAACUGCAGGGCUAGAGUCCUGGAGAGGAAGGUGGAAUGCUUGGUGUAGAGGUGAAAUUCGUAGAUAUCAAGCGGAACACCGGUGGCGAAGGCGGCCUUCUGGACAGUGACUGACGCUGAGACGCGAAAGCGUGGGAGCAAACAGG